CGCCGCCCGCCGCCCUCCCGCCCCUGCGUGCGGGGCCCGCUGGCCGGCUCUCGCAGUCUCCGCGCCACCCCCGCGGGGACCCCGAAUCUCUCCGGUCUCCGCGGCGGUGUAGGUCGGUGCUGAAGGGGGUGCUCUGGGCGGCGGGCCCAACUCCUGCAGCUCCGCCGGCCGCCACUGGGGGCUGCCGCGCGGGCGAGCUCGGCGGGGACAGUGCGCACGGCCCGGGGUUCCCGGGCACCUCCGGCCGCUGGGCUUUCUCCGCCGCCGGCCCCGCGCUGCCUCCGCAGCCAGCCCGGCUCCCUCCCGGAUCUAAUAAGCCGCUCAGGGAUCUCCCCGCGUGGACGUCCGAGGCCACCAUCUGCCUGCUUUCGCCGGAGCCAGAGGGGUUAGCUCGAGCCUGUCUCGGGCGGGGAAGGAUGCGUGGCCGAGCCGGGGAGCCCGGGCGCCCCGCGGAGCCGGCCUCGGAGCCUCCCAGCCGUGGGUAGAUGCUGCCUUGCCCAGGCACC
rnacentral:lncRNA from 1 species